rnacentral:rRNA from 1 species
UACGUAGGUGGCAAGCGUUGUCCGGAUUUACUGGGUGUGAAGGGCGUGUAGGCGGGCCAAUAAGUUGGGUGUGAAAUACCACGGCUUAACCGUGGGGCUGCACCCAAAACUGUAGGUCUUGAGUGUCGGAGAGGUAAGCGGAAUUCCUAGUGUAGCGGUGAAAUGCGUAGAUAUUAGGAGGAACACCAGUGGCGAAGGCGGCUUACUGGAAGGCAACUGACGCUGAGGCGCGAAAGCGGGGGGAGCAAAC